rnacentral:rRNA from 1 species
UACGGGAGGCAGCAGUAGGGAAUCUUCGGCAAUGGACGAAAGUCUGACCGAGCAACGCCGCGUGAGUGAAGAAGGUUUUCGGAUCGUAAAACUCUGUUGUUAGAGAAGAACAAGGAUGAGAGUAACUGUUCAUCCCUUGACGGUAUCUAACCAGAAAGCCACGGCUAACUACGUGCCAGCAGCCGCGGUAAUACGUAGGUGGCAAGCGUUGUCCGGAUUUAUUGGGCGUAAAGCGAGCGCAGGCGGUUUCUUAAGUCUGAUGUGAAAGCCCCCGGCUCAACCGGGAGGGUCAUUGGAAACUGGGAGACUUGAGUGCAGAAGAGGAGAGUGGAAUUCCAUGUGUAGCGGUGAAAUGCGUAGAUAUAUGGAGGAACACCAGUGGCGAA